rnacentral:rRNA from 1 species
AUUGAACGCUGGCGGCAGGCCUAACACAUGCAAGUCGAGCGAGCGGCGGACGGGUGAGUAAUGUAUGGGGACUGCCCGAUAGAGGGGGAUAACUACUGGAAACGGUGGCUAAUACCGCAUACUAUCGGAUAACCCAUAUGGGAUUAGCUAGUAGGUGGGGUAAAGGCUCACCUAGGCGACGAUCUCUAGCUGGGCUGAGAGGAUGAUCAGCGACGCUGUGAAGGAGACACGGCCCAGACUCCUACGGAAGCAGCAGUGGGGAAGAUGGCACAAUGAAAGCAAGCAUGAUGGAGCCAAGCGGCGUGUAUGAAGAUGGCCUUAGGGUUGUAAAGGACUUUCGGCGGAGAGGCGUUACCUGCAGAAGAAGCACCGGCUAACUACGUGCCAGCAGCCGCGGUAAUUC